rnacentral:sRNA from 1 species
CCAGGAGGCGGAGGCGCGCGGGCCAGCCUGGGCCCCAGCCCACACCUUCACCAGGAUGUAUGCAUGGAGGUCGUAUCUAUCCAGUCUUGGGAACCUACUGGGACAACUGUAACCGUUGCACCUGCCAGGAGAACAGGCAGUGGCAGUGUGACCAAGAACCAUGCCUGGUGGAUCCAGACAUGAUCAAAGCCAUCAACCAGGGCAACUAUGGGUGAGAGGCCCUAGAGGCACCCUCAGUGGGCACACAUGCAUACUCAUGCAUGUAUACACGCAUGCUGUGCUGUGGGGCACGUCCAGCAGGCCACUCCUACACCCAGAUUUGACUGUGUGUGCGCUCAGCCACUGUGCGUCUCUCCCACCCACAUGCACCCACGCCAAGGACCCUGAGCCUCGGCAGAUCUGUGACUUCCUUCCGUCCUCUCUCCUUCAGCUGGCAGGCUGGGAACCACAGCGCCUUCUGGGGCAUGACCCUGGAUGAGGGCAUUCGCUACCGCCUGGGCACCAUCCGCCCAUCUUCCUCGGUCAUGAACAUGCAUGAAAUUUAUACAGUGCUGAACCCAGGGGAGGUGCUUCCCACAGCCUUCGAGGCCUCUGAGAAGUGGCCCAACCUGAUUCAUGAGCCUCUUGACCAAGGCAACUGUGCAGGCUCCUGGGCCUUCUCCACAGCAGCUGUGGCAUCCGAUCGUGUCUCAAUCCAUUCUCUGGGACACAUGACGCCUGUCCUGUCGCCCCAGAACCUGCUGUCUUGUGACACCCACCAGCAGCAGGGCUGCCGCGGUGGGCGUCUCGAUGGUGCCUGGUGGUUCCUGCGUCGCCGAGG